GUAGCAGCAAAUAAAGGUCACUGUGUGACAUUCCAAAUUCCACAGAAAAGGCUGAAAAAGGAAGAAGAAAAAAAAAAAAGAGGGCGAAAAAAAAAAUAAAGAAGAAGAAGAUGAGAUGGAAUUUCAUGGUGAUUUUGAUUCUCAAAGAUGCCAUUGCCACCAGGGGAUGAAAUUAAAAAACCAAGCAGAAAGUGAUAUUCUUGCAAGAUUAAAGUAGAUUCUCUGUUAUCUACAUCUGAUCACAAAGGCCAAGAUCCCCAGCUGCACAGUUUACCUUUUGAAAGAUCAAACCAG
rnacentral:misc_RNA from 1 species